GGAAGUGUAGCUUAGUCUGGUUAGAGCAUUGGUCUUAUACACCAAAGGUCGCAGGUUCGAAUCCUGCCAUUUCCA
rnacentral:tRNA from 1 species